UAUUAGAAAGCGAAAUCUAUCGCAUUUAGUUUCGACCUAAACUUUGGCCUCUAAGCCUCUAAUAA
rnacentral:tRNA from 1 species